rnacentral:lncRNA from 10 species
ACGAACACAAAGGGAAAGAAGAGAGGCACCCGAUAUAUGUUCUCUAGGCCUUUUAGUAAACAUGGAGUUGUUCCUUUGGCCACAUGUAUGCGAAUCUAUAAGAAAGGUGAUAUUGUAGACAUCAAGGGAAUGGGUACUAUUCAAAAAGGAAUGCUCCGCGAGUGUUAUCAUGGCAAAACUGGAAGAGUCUGCAGUGUUACCCAACAUGCUGUUGGCACUGUAAGCAAGUUGUAAACAAACACGUUACUCAGCAUGCUGUUGGUAUUGUAAACAACUUGUCAACAAACAAGUUAAGGGCAAGAUUCUUGCCAAGAGAAUUAAUGUGCGUAUUGAGCACAUUCAGCACUCUAAGAGCCAAAAUAGCUUCCUGAAACACGUAAAGGAAAAUGAUCGGAAAAAGAAAGAAGCCAAAGAGAAAGGUACCCGGGUUCUACUGAAGCACCAGCCUGCUCCAUCCAGAGAAGCACACUUUGUGAGAACCAGUGGGAAGGAGCCUGAGCUGCUGGAACCUAUUCCCUGUGAAUUCAUAGCAUAA